rnacentral:lncRNA from 1 species
UUAUUCAUGAGAAACAGAGAGAGGCAGAAACACAGACAGAGAGAGAGGCAGGCUCCAUGCAGGGAGCCUGAUGUAGGACUCGAUCCAAUCCUGAGUCUACAGGAUCACACCAUGGACCAAAGGCAGGCACUUAACCACUGAGCCACCCAGGUGUCCCCAUUUUGAACAUCUUAAAGGAAGGUAGAAAUUUGAAAUAUCACCUCUGAAAUGAUAGUCUCCUCUAGUUCCAAACAGAUCUUUUUAAAAAAUAUUUUUAAGAUUUUACUUAUUUAUUCAUGAGACACACAGAGAGAGGCAGAGACAUAGGCAGAGGGAGAAGCAGGCUCCAUGCAAGAAGCCUGAUGCGGGACUGGAUCCCUGGACCAGGAUCACACCCUGAGCCAAAGGCAGAUGCUCAGCUGCUGAGCCACCCAGAUGUCCCAAAACAGAUGUUUAUCAAGCCUCAGUUUAAAACUAAAUAUUAGUUCUUAAGAAAUGCAGGGAAGAGAAGAACAUGUUAAAUGAAACUAUAUAGGUGCAAUCAACAAAAUCCAAAAUGGAGAAUUUCACUGGGACAAACAACUAAUCUUUUUUUUUUCCAACCAAAAAGUGCAAGAAAAAAGGAAAUGGGUCCAAGUAAGAGAAGCCAAAGAUCUUAACAGAUACCUCAUCAAAGAAGAUAUACAGAUGUCAAAUAAGCACAUGAAAACAUGCUCCACAUCGUUAGUCAUCAGGGAAAUGCAAGUUAAAAUGGCAAUAGGACACCAAUACAUACCUAUUUGUAUGGCCAGAUUCCAGAACUCCAACACCAGCAAAUGCUGGCAAGGAUAUGAGGCAACAGGGACUCUCACUCAUUGCUAGUGGGAUGCCAAAUGGUACAUAUACUUUGGAAGAGCAUUUCGUGGUUUCUUAUAGAACUAAGCAUAUUCUUCCCAAAUGGUCCAGCAAUCACACUACUUGGUAUUUACCCAAAGGAGUUGAAAACUUAUGUCUACUCAAAAACAUAAACACAAAUGUUUAUAGCAGCUUUAUUAAAAAAUGCUGCAACUUGGAAGCAAUCACAAUGUCCUUUGGUAGGUAAAUAAAUAAACUGUAGUCCACCCAAACAGUGGAAUAUAAUUCUAUACUAAAAAGAAAUGAGCUUUCUCAUUUCUCUUUAUGUUUCAUAAGACAUAAAGACAUAAAGGAACUUUAUUAUUUUUUAAAGACUUAUUUACUUGAGAGAGAGAGAAAGAGCUUGAGAGAGAGAGAGAGAGCAGGAGUGGGAGGGGAAAAGGGAGGGGGAAAGAGAGUCUCAAGCUGACUCCUCACUGAGCAUAGAGCCCAUUGCAGGGUUUGAUUCCAAUACCUUGAGAUCAUGACCUGAGCUGACAUCAAUAGUUGGAGGCUUAACCAACUACACCAUCCAAGCACCCCGACAUGGAAGAACUUUAAAUGUAAUUACGUAGUGAGAGAAGCCAAUUUGAAAAGGCUACAUAUUGCAUGAUUCCAACACUAGGACACUCUGGAAAAGAUAAAACAUGGAGAUAGUUGGUGAUCAGUGGUGGUCAAAUGUUAGGGCUAGGGAUGUUGAAUAAGCAGAGCACAAAGGAUUUUUAAGGCAGUAAAAAUACCCUGUAUGAUACCAUUAUGAUAUAUGUCAUUAUACAUUUGUUAAAAUCCUUAGAAUGUACUCCAUCAAGAGUAAACUCUAAGGUAAAUAAUGGGCUUCAGUGAUUUAUGUGUUCAUAAAUAGUUAAUAAAUAGUAAUAACUAUACUAUUCUGAUAGGGAUAUCAAUAAUGGGGGAGCCUGAGUCUAUGGGAGCUGGAGGUAUAUGGGAAAUCUCUAUAUCUUCCUCUCAAUUUCAUUGUAGCCAUGAGCUUCCAUUAUGUAGAAAAAUGUGGUCCAUAUGCCUUCUUUAUUUUCACUGUGUUCCUCUAUCCUAUUCAUGAUUUGUAGAAGACAGAAUUAUAACCCUCAAAGAUGCCCACCCCAUCAUCCUCAGAAAAUUUUAAGUAUGUUAAGUUACAAGGCAAAAGAGACUUUCAAAUUUAAUUCAAGAUCUUAAAGUAGGGAGAUAAUCUUGGAUUAUUUGUGCCCAAUACAAUUAUAUGAGCCCUUAAAAGCAGAAACUCUUCUCUAGCUGGAGAGAGAAAGGAUGCUGCAGAAGUGAGAAAGUCUUAAAGUGUAAGAAGGGAUCAUGUGGCAUUGCUGGUUUGGAGAUAUGGCUGGUGAAAGAAAUAAUUCCUGGAGGGAGAAAGUGGCCUGAAAAAGCUGAGAGAGGUUCCCAGAGGCCAGAGACUUCAGAGAAGAGCCCAGGCUGGCAAACACUUGAUCUGUCUUGUGAGAGACCAAAAGCAGAGUUCAGCCAAGUCCAUCUGGACUUCCAACUGGCUGAACUGUGAGCUAAUAAGUUCGCAUUGUUCAAAGUCACCAAGUUUGUGGUAAUUUAUUACAGCAGAAAUAGAAAACGAAUACAUAACUGUUAACUACUUUGAAGUCUCUUUAGACCAGACCUUCUAUGAAUUCACCUUUGGCAUCUGGCAGGGAAAAGUCAGUCAAAUUGACAAUAGAGAAAGGGGUCAUUGUACCUCCUGAGUGCUAAUGACAAACUCUGAAGCGAUAUGCUUCCCGUACACCCACCCAGCUCUGACCAGUCUCAGGAGGCCAAAGAUCCCAGACAACAUGGACAGCUGGACAAUUCUUCAAAUCUGACAGACUUUAGCAGAAGUGGACCUUGGGCUACUUUCUUAAGCCAACAAUGAUGUCAGAAAGAAUGAUCAGGACAUGAAGUAGCUUCAGGAUUAAAUAACUAUGCUAACAAGCCUAAGAUUUUAUAAUUUUCUUUUUCUUUUCAUUGGUUAUGGUAUACCUAUAUCCUAUGCUCUACCUUAUAUGGAUCAGCAGGCAUAGGGGUGAUUUGUAGAGCUGACCCUGGACACACUGAACUGAUCUCUGAGGUUUUCAUUUUUGUUUUAAAGGUUUUAUUUAUUUAUUUAUUCAUGACAGACAUACACACACAGAGAGAGGCAGAGACAGAGGCAGAGGGAGAAGCAGGCUCUAUGCAGGGAACCUGAUGUGGGACUCGAUCCCAGGACUCCAGGAUCACACCCUGAGCUGAAGGCAGACACUCAACCAUUCUGUCACCCAGGAGCCCCUGAGGUUUUCUAUUCCAGGCAGUGGCUGUGACCAACCCUUUGCUCUGCCCUAGAUCUCAGGAUCCAUUAGAAGAUACCUAUCAUCACCUUAGCGUACUAUGUAAAUUAACUUUUCCUUACCUAAGAGAAGUCUGACAGCAUCUAAUUGCAGGAAGGAGAUGAAGGUUCAGAACAGAAUAGCCAGAUAUUGAUUGCCUCUCUUCCACUGAGGACCAUUGCAUCACUGUAAGAGGAAAGCCCUGAGUGAGGGAUAAGAUUCAUACCUGGACAAGAUAUUGUCAAUCUUGCCCCUCUGCGCUGUCUGGUUGGAAGAAGGUGUGUGUACACAAAGGAAGAAAGAAAAUAUGUAUAUAUAGUGUGUAUAAAUACUCCACUGAUAUAAUUUGUCAAAGACAUAGAAAUAUAAAUGAUAGAUCGUUAGUUAUUUUGGUGGGGGAUAGUUUUGAGCCAGGGUAAUGAAACCUAUGAAUGUACUAAGCUUAGGAACUUAGGGAUUUUGUCUAAUAAGUAAUGGGGAAAUCUAUAUGU